UAUUUGAAAAACAAUGCUACAGUCAAUUAUUCUCCUUUGAAAAUGUGCAUUCUGGUCCGGAAUGUCGGCUUCUGUUUUGGUUUGUUAAACCCGCCCACUGCCACUGAAAAGGGGUCUGAGCGGGAAUCUGGCAAUUUGCAUGUGCGUCAAGUCUGAGUAAGAGGGGCCGGUGAAGAAAAACGUUUCCAAUAUGUAGAAUUUGGACGGCAAUGCCAAGUUCAAGCACUCGGUGUGAAUCCUACAAAUAGCACCUAAAAGGUCAGGAGCUGUCAGAUUUGAAAAGUUGAGCGGGGGAAAGCUGUCUAGUAUGCUCUUUUCAAGAGUUUACGCACAAACGCAUGCAUACGAUUAGACCGUGAAAGAGAACCAGUGUGAUGUCUGCAGGUCACAGUGAUAGAUGCAGUACCUCGAGUUCCCAGCAAAGUACCGCCACAUGAAUAAAUGAUACAGAUUACUUCUACCUAUCUUC